rnacentral:rRNA from 1 species
CCGCCGGCGACCGGCGCACGGGUGAGUAACACGUAUGCAACCCUGGCCGUGACAGAUGGAUAACCGGGAGAAAUCCCGCCUAAUACAACAUAAUGCCGGGAGGGGACAUCCCCUGCCGGCCAAAGGGGGCGACCCCGGUCACGGAUGGGCAUGCGGCGCAUUAGGUAGUUGGUGGGGCAACGGCCCACCAAGCCGACGAUGCGUAGGGGUUCUGAGAGGAAGGUCCCCCACAUUGGAACUGAGACACGGUCCAAACUCCUACGGAAGGCAGCAG